UUGUAACCCCCGCGUAGACUAGCAUAUCAUUAAGCGGAGGAAAAGAAACUACAAGGAUUCCCUUAGUAACUGGCGAGUGAAGCGGGAAAAGCCUCAAAUUUAAAAUCUGGCAGUCGUUGGCUGUCGGAGGUUGUUUUCCUGAAGAGCCGUUUUCGGGGCUGGACCGUGUACAAGUCUCUUGGAAUAGAGCGUCGUAGAGGGUGAGAAUCCCGUCUUUGACACGGACUACCAGUGCUUUGUGAUGCGCUCUCAAAGAGUCGAGUUGUUUGGGAAUGCAGCUCAAAAUGGGUGGUGAAUUCCAUCUAAAGCUAAAUAUUGGCGAGAGACCGAUAGCGAACAAGUACCGUGAGGGAAAGAUGAAAAGCACUUUGGAAAGAGAGUUAAACAGUACGUGAAAUUGCUGAAAGGGAAACGCUUGAAGUCAGUCGCGUCAUUCAGAACUCAGCCUGGCUUUUGCCUGGUGUAUUUUUUGGUUGACGGGCCAGCAUCAGUUUUGACCGCUGGAAAAAGGCCAUAGGAAUGUGGCACCCUCGGGUGUGUUAUAGCCUAUGGUCAUAUACAGCGGUUGGGACUGAGGACCGCAGCACGCCUUUAUGGUUGGGGUUCGCCCACAUUCGUGCUUAGGAUGCUGGCGUAAUGGCUUUAAACGACCCGUCUUGAAACACGGACCAAGGAGUCUAACAUGCCUGCGAGUGUUUGGGUGGAAAACCCGAGCGCGUAAUGAAAGUGAAAGUUGGGAUCCCUGUCGCGGGGAGCACCGACGCCCGGACCAGACCUUUUGUGACGGAUCCGCGGUAGAGCAUGUAUGUUGGGACCCGAAAGAUGGUGAACUAUGCCUGAAUAGGGUGAAGCCAGAGGAAACUCUGGUGGAGGCUCGUAGCGAUUCUGACGUGCAAAUCGAUCGUCAAAUUUGGGUAUAGGGGCGAAAGACUAAUCGAACCAUCUAUCCAAA
rnacentral:rRNA from 1 species